AUUGAACGCUGGCGGCAUGCCUUACACAUGCAAGUCGAACGGCAGCACGGGUGCUUGCACCUGGUGGCGAGUGGCGAACGGGUGAGUAAUACAUCGGAACGUACCUUAUCGUGGGGGAUAACGCAGCGAAAGCUGUGCUAAUACCGCAUACGCCCUGAGGGGGAAAGCGGGGGAUCGCAAGACCUCGCGCGAUUAGAGCGGCCGAUGCCUGAUUAGCUUGUUGGUGGGGUAAAAGCCCACCAAGGCGACGAUCAGUAGCUGGUCUGAGAGGACGAUCAGCCACACUGGGACUGAGACACGGGCCAGACUCCUACGGGAGGCAGCAGUGGGGAAUUUUGGACAAUGGGGGCAACCCUGAUCCAGCAAUGCCGCGUGAGUGAAGAAGGCCUUCGGGUUGUAAAGCUCUUUUGUCAGGGAAGAAACACCGGCUCUAACACAGUCCGGGAAUGACGGUACCUGAAGAAUAAGCACCGGCUAACUACGUGCCAGCAGCGGCGGUAA
rnacentral:rRNA from 1 species